CUGAACCCUUGCCCCCGGAGCCCCCAGCAGUGCCCUCUGAGGUGGAGCUGCAGCACCUGAGGAAGGAACUAGAGAGAGUGGCAGGAGAGCUCCAGUCCCAGGUCAAAAACAAUCAGCACAUAAGUCUCCUGAACCGGCGACAAGAAGAGAGGAUUCGGGAACAGGAAGAGAGGCUUCGGAAGCAGGAGGAGAGGCUUCAGGAGCAGCACGAGAAGCUUCGGCAGCUGGCCAAGCCACAGAGCGUCUUCGAGGAGCUGAACAAUGAGAACAAGAGCACACUGCAGUUGGAGCAGCAAGUAAAGGAGCUACAGGAGAAGCUUGGCGAGGUGAAGGAGACGGAAACCUCCACCCCAUCCAAGAAGGGCUGGGAGGCGGGCAGCAGCCUCUUGGGAGGGGAGGUGCCAGGUCAGAGGCAGCUUCCAGCCUGGGGGCUGGUGACCACAGCACCCCGCAGGGCAGUCCUGCGACUGUUUCUCGCUUCCUGCCUCUGACUUUUAAAGGUGGGUAGCCCUGGGCUCCUCUCAGGUCUGGACAUCAUCAUCCCAGCUAGAGGCAUGGAGCCCC
rnacentral:lncRNA from 1 species